UACGUAGGGGGCAAGCGUCGUCCGGAUUUACUGGGCGUAAAGAGCGUGUAGGCGGCCACGCAGGUCCGUUGUGAAAACUGGAGGCUCAACUUCCAGCCGUCGACGGAAACCGUGUGGCUAGAGUCCGGAAGAGGGGAGUGGAAUUCCUGGUGUAGCGGUGAAAUGCGCAGAUAUCAGGAGGAACACCUAUUGCGAAGGCAGCUCGCUGGGACGUAACUGACGCUGAGGAGCGAAAGCGUGGGGAGCGAACAGG
rnacentral:rRNA from 1 species